AUUGAACGCUGGCGGCAGGCCUAACACAUGCAAGUCGAGCGGAUGACGGGAGCUUGCUCCUUGAUUCAGCGGCGGACGGGUGAGUAAUGCCUAGGAAUCUGCCUGGUAGUGGGGGACAACGUUUCGAAAGGAACGCUAAUACCGCAUACGUCCUACGGGAGAAAGCAGGGGACCUUCGGGCCUUGCGCUAUCAGAUGAGCCUAGGUCGGAUUAGCUAGUUGGUGGGGUAAUGGCUCACCAAGGCGACGAUCCGUAACUGGUCUGAGAGGAUGACCAGUCACACUGGAACUGAGACACGGUCCGGACUCCUACGGGAGGCAGCAGUGGGGAAUAUUGGACAAUGGGCGAAAGCCUGAUCCAGCCAUGCCGCGUGUGUGAAGAAGGUCUUCGGAUUGUAAAGCACUUUAAGUUGGGAGGAAGGGCAGUAAGCUAAUACCUUGCUGUUCUGACGUUACCGACAGAAUAAGCACCGGCUAACUCUGUGCCAGCAGCCGCCGUAA
rnacentral:rRNA from 1 species